rnacentral:lncRNA from 1 species
AAUAUAAUGUAGUGAAAAUGCAGAAUCUGUGCUGUGUUAUUAAUCCUAGAUGUGAAGUUGAGCUCUGAUCAUCUGUUGUGUAAAAGCAGAAGUGAAUGUGAGCAUUGAGGAGGUUUUUGUCAUGAUGUGAAUCACUGUGAUACAUACUCAUUAGCAGAGCUGUCCCAUGUCUUACAGUAAUACACUGCAGAAUCACUCACAUCCACAUUACUGAUGAUCAGACUAUAAUCUGAUGUAGAUGAGUGUGUUGAUGUGAAUUUAGGAGCAGCAAAGCCAGAUCCAUAGAUAGGUGAACUCCUGGUAUGAUAAUCGUAUAACACAUACUGAGGAACUCCUGCUGGAGUCUGUUUGUACCAUCUAACACCAGAAUCAGUCACUGUCCCCAGAUUACAGUCCAGUUGAGCGGUUUGUCCUUUACUGACUGUGAUUACUGGACUCUGAGUCACUACAGUCACUCCACUGACACCUGCAGAACAAACACAAGCUUUACAUGAGAUCGUGUGUCCAACACUUUAAACUGUCCAUCAGACAUGAGGAAACUCACAGGUCAGAAGAGUGCAGACAGAGCAGAAUAUUGAGAUCAUCUUGUGAUUUGGUGUCUGUGACGUGUAAAGAUGAGCAGUGCUGUAGAAUAAAGCUGAGAUGAUCAGAGAGAGAAACUUGAAGACUGUAGAGACACUAAAAGAGACGCCCGCCUCAGUUUCACAGUCAUUUACAUAAACCCUGCUGAGCUAACAGGUGUCUCAUGUGUGUGAGCGUGGAUGAGCGCUGUGUGAUGGUUCACUGCAUCCACUUUAAGUUAUAAUUAGCAUCUCGAUGCUUGCCUACAUUGCUGUGUGUUUUAUGCAUAUAAACAUCAGGUAGAGCAGAUCUUAAUAACCAUUAUCAGAUAAUAAUAAUAUUAAU